UUAAUGAAAGAUAUUAUCAAGAUUUUAUUUGAUUUUCAUGUAUGAAUUUUAGAAGUAUUGGCGGUAUUUGGUUAAAUUCUGAGGAACUUGUUUAUAUAAUUUGAUAUUACUCAUUAAAUUUUAUCUAUAAUUUUUUUAUGUAUUGCUGUUUAAUUUAUUAUUUAUUAUUUGAAUAAAUGAGGUUAAUUUUAAAGUAAAGAAUUCAAGUCAAAAUGUAGAUUUUUAUAGGUUUAGAUGAGUUACUUUUAUAUUGAAAUAUGAAACUGUAAAGUUAGUUGAAAUAAUUAAUGAAAUGUGAAGGUUGGAUUAGGAAGUAAAAAAAAAAUAAUUAGUUUUUUUGAUAAUUUUUAUCAAUAUGU
rnacentral:rRNA from 1 species